rnacentral:rRNA from 1 species
UGGGGAAUAUUGGACAAUGGGGGCAACCCUGAUCCAGCAAUGCCGCGUGUGUGAAGAAGGUCUUCGGAUUGUAAAGCACUUUCGACGGGGACGAUGAUGACGGUACCCGUAGAAGAAGCCCCGGCUAACUUCGUGCCAGCAGCCGCGGUAAUACGAAGGGGGCUAGCGUUGCUCGGAAUGACUGGGCGUAAAGGGCGUGUAGGCGGUUUACACAGUCAGAUGUGAAAUCCCCGGGCUUAACCUGGGAGCUGCAUUUGAUACGUGUAGACUAGAGUGUGAGAGAGGGUUGUGGAAUUCCCAGUGUAGAGGUGAAAUUCGUAGAUAUUGGGAAGAAC